UGGUUUCAUAAAGUAGUUCGAGGUCUAGUUGCAAAGGUCACCACAUCACUGAUGUAUUUAACACAAGGCUUCACUUUUCAUACAUAUGAGUAUGAUAGACAGCGGGUGACAAGUAAUUAUGGAAUAUGUGUGAAAGGCGAAACAGAUUUCUACGGGAUAUUGAAUGAGAUUAUUGAAGUGGAAUUUCCAGGAUUAUUGAAGCUGGAAUGUGUCUUCUUCAAAUGUCAAUGGUUCGACCCCGUCGUCAACAGAGGUGUUCGAUUUAACAAAUUCGGUGUAGUUGAUGUCAAUGGUGGACGAAGGUACAACAAAUUCGAGCCUUUCGUAUUAGCUUCACAAGCAGACCAAGUUAGCUUCCUUCCAUACCCUCGGAUGAGAGAAUCAGGAAUUAAUUGGUUUGUCGUUAUCAAAAUUACACCUCGUGGACGAAUAAUCGGUAGAAAAGAACAACCAUUGCAAGAAGAACACAUCAAUGAAGUUGAGGAACCUGAACAACAAACUGAUGACAUCCUUCUUAUUGUAGAAUUUAUCGCUAAGAGUAUGGUAUAAUAUAUAUAUUUGUUGCAUUUGUUUUAUCCAUUUUCUUUUUGACGACCUAUUCAUGUUCUGUAAAUUGAUGUGAUGCUAGUGAUCUAAUAAACAAGUUUUUACAGUGAAGUAACAAUGAAGCAUAGAAGAUUUUUUUUUUAUAAUUAAACUACAUUUUCAUAUGUUCAUGUCAUUUUGAGCCUUUUUAGUUUUCAGAGUGUUAUACAACAUUGAAUUCCUAAUUCUCUUAGGUGACUUGAAAUAUUUGGUCUCAUGUGUGGUGUUGUUACUAGCUGUCCAAAUCGUUUUCCUUUCUUGCAAAGAACCACCACCGACGGUGACGUUAUGGAGAGUGCGACAUCAGCUUUUGACUUUUAUGUUUACUGUGGAGAUGAAUGAUGGGAAAACGGCCAAUUCCUUCCUCAACACUACUCUAUGGUCCUGAUCAAGACAUCAACUUAUCACAUGUGCUAAAACAUACAUUAACUCAAAAGUUAUUUGAACUUCAUACAUCAAUUUAUAAAAAAAAAAUUUACAUACAUUGACUAACGUUGAUCUGAAAUCCGUCAUUUAACCGUUAAUUAGUGACGACGUGGUAUUGACGUAUCAUAUGAGUCAGCUUAAAAUACAAAACGAUAUCGUUUCAAUAAGUAUAUAAAAAAAAUUUGACGACGGCAACUGGGUGAGGACAUGUUAUAGUUACAAAUUUGUGUUAUUUGCUGAUUAAAUUUUGUUAAUUAUAAAAAGACUUUUGAGACAUGUUAUAAAAAGAUUGGGUGAGGACAUGUUAUAAAAAGACUCUGCCGGUCACCCUUCUGUUUGAUUAAUUAUCGUUUUGGUCUCUGCUCCUCCUCUGUCUUUUAUCUAUGUGGCAUGGUCUCCUUGUUAAUGUCUCUGGAGAUUUCUCUUGUUGGAGAUAUAUAUGUGUUCUAGUUGUUAUUCUACACAGAUGGAGCACCGACAAGGCCAGUGUCCAUGACGUGAAGGUAGGGAGCUCGAGACUGGAGGUGGUUUGUGUGGUUUUAACUGGAUCUGGGUCAGAUCUGUGAGAAGGUUGCAGUUGAGGAUUCACUGGUGCUGAAGAGGUUCUGCUCCUUUAUCAUAUUUUGAUUCCGUUUUCCCGUGACCUCUCUGCUCUUCGAUCUGUGGAGACUUUCGUUUUAGGUGGAUUAGAACAACUUUUUUCCAUUGUUGUUGGGAAAUUUUUAUGUUAUGCUAUUCUAUGCUAUCCUUGAAGUUCAGAGAAUUGAUGGAUCUCUUUUAGUUGUCUGGUCUCUAUACUUGCAAGUUAUCGGGUUAUUGAUGUGGUAGUGAAUGCUUCCUGUCUAUUUCUGUUGGUUUCUUUAUGUUUUUGGUGGGCUCGGAUGGGAUUGACUUCGUUUAUCUCUAGAUCUUUUGAGAUUAGAGUGUUGGUUGGAGGACUUUUAUUGGGCGUAGUUUGUACACAUGAAGUGUGUCGCUGCCGUAUCCGAAAGAGGACGGGAACUACAAGUGGUUCAUUCUUGUUGGGUUAUAAAGUAUGGUUCUUUAGGAGGGAAAAAUGUGUUGUCGGUGUUCAUAGAAGUGGAUGUUAUCGUUCGGGUGGGGGGGGGGGGGGGGUGGGCGACAACGAUAAAUCUCGUUCAGAAGCAUUUCGAGGUGUCAAAAGGUUGCAAGUAUAGUUGAUAUCACUCAAAUUACCCUAAGGAGUGAUUUACUCUCUCAAAUAAGAGGUUCAGUUGUAGUACUUAGGGAUCAAAUUCACAGGGAGCUAAGGCACACAAUAGAUCUAUCAAGUUAUGUAGUUAAGCUAGGUAAGUAGGUUUUAAAGCAGUAAAUAGCAGGGGUGAACAAGUAAUUUUCGAUUGAUUGAUUGGGGUUUUAAAACAAACAAGGGAAGCGUUAGACUUCGGGUUACUAAGCAUAUAUGGAUAUUCUAGAACUCAAAAUAUAAGAAUAGUCGAUCAACUUUCAUAUAUUUAGUUUAUCUAUCGUCGGAUCUAGGACCUUAGUUGUCGCUUGUUGGUCCUGAGAAAGUGUCGAUCGACUCCAACAAUGGAGUGUCGAUCGAUGCAACUACCGAGUUGUCGGUCGAUGAACCUUUCAGGGAGCGUUAUCGCACGGGUUUGACGUGUUCACUAGGUUUAACUAAAUCAGUUUCUGCUUGUUUCUAGCAAUCCUAGCACAAUCUAAACUAAUCAUACAGAGAACCAAACUUCCGCUUGCGCCCUACUAUCUAAAGGCAAUGUCCUAAUUAGCUACUCUAGAACACAUGCAUUAAGAACAUUUUAGUUGAUUCAUAUUCCUGAAACUUAGCAAUUCUAUAUUUUGGGUUAAUCCCUCAUGAAUAUCUGAACUCUAAAUCUAUCAAGAAGAACUACUCAGACAUAGCUAAGCAAUUCAUAACAAAGAGAUAUAAAAUCUGCAUAAGAUAGAAAAACUAGAGUUCCAAUCACAAAUCUCUGAAGGAGUUAUUGGAUCUUCUCUUCAAACCUAAGACUCUAAGUAUUUUUCUGUAUGAAAGUAAGAAAGCGUGUGUUGCCUAGAACAAUGGCAGGACACACAAAUAUUUGGUUAAAUUCGCCAGGGGUAAUCUGGUAAUUAUUGUGGGACUUGGGCUUAAAGUCGGCUGGAAUCCAAUUUGGCUUCCGCGCGUUUCGCUGUCGAUUGAAAACAAGGAGUGUGUGUCGAUCGAUUAUUGCCUUCGCCCAUCGAUCGAUAUUCAUGGUCGAUGGUCAGCUACAGGUCUUUAUCAUUUUAUCUCCAAAAAGCAACAAAAUCACCACUUUCUUCCAAAUCACUCCAAAACCUGAAAACAUACUAAAAAAGACUCCAAAGCAACUAUAAAGUAUUUAAAACACACAUAUAUACCAUUACUAAAAAUAGGUAAAAUCCAUGGUAUAUAGCCCCCAGACUUACUCUUUUGCUUGUCCUCAAGCAAACCAACGAGCAGUCUCUCUGAAAGUGGUUUGAAAACAGCAGGGACUCACAUAAUUUAAGAACUUAGUAUCAUCACCUCAACAAUAUUGCAUACCACAUCAAAUCAAUUCUAACUUCAGAGGUAUCCUAUAUACCAUAUCCUAGCUUAGCAACCAAAUCCAUCUAACCAGCAACUUAGCUAAUAGUGUCUGACUCGCUGAUGAACGCUCCCUAAGAUACUCCACUCUGAUUUUGGUUGGAUGGAACAAGGACAGAUGAUAGAUGGUUUAUUUUGGGAUGGAUAGAUGCAUGACAGUUUCUAGAUAGAUAGAUAGAUCGAUUGAUCACACUGAGGUUGCAAAAUGGCCUUAGAUUCACCACUCUCUUGUUCUGGAUAUGACACACCAGUCAACAGGAAAGGUUGCUGAUUUGAUUUAGGUUUACACACCUCUAUAAUCAGGUUGUUCAUAAGAACAAUGAUGAAUCAUCAAAUAAGAGAAGAAUUUUUUUUUAUAAAAAUGAUGAUUAAAUUUUCUGAUACAAUUUCAAAAUACUUAAAUAGAAAACACUAGAACUACUGCAUGAUCAGCCUAGAAAGCAUAUAAAAAAAGACAAUGAAAUAAUUAAACAAGCUGCAUGAACAUCAUAGAAAACAUAAAUAAGACAUCUGAGUAAAUGAAAGUGGUUGGGGUGGUGGUGGUUUGGCCAAGUAGAUCUUCUUUACUUUCUUGGUUCUGAACAAGGCAAGCAAUCUUCUCAUUCAGCUUCUUGGACCUUAUCUCGUAAUGGGCCCAUCAUAUAUGGCAAAUGGAUCUUCUUUCUAAAACAUUGGGGUAAUCCAUAGAAUCGCAUCCACGGGUUUUCAUCCAUUCGGGUUCAUCGACAGAAUUGCUUCCACGGGGUUGCAUCCACUCGUAUUCUUCCACCGGUUCGAUCGAGCUGAUUAAGCUCAAUUAGGUUGUAGAUCAGCUUUGGUUCUUUCAAACAUUCUCAACAAGUGUGGAUAAUAGGCAGGUGAUCCAGUUUGGUAUCUCUAAUAUACUCUGCAGUCAAUAAAUCUAAGAGUGGUGCUAGAGAGUGGUUAGAUAAUAAGUGAAAUUAUAAAGUUUAUAAUCCCCUUCUUGAGUCAAUAAAAACAUUUUUUUAAUCUUUUAUAAAAGUCAUGGUAAAUUAAUAUCAGUAAACUUCCUCUCAUACACUGUUCUAAUGUCCAUUUAGUCGGAGUUUGGUGAAAACAUAGAUCAUAAGGACAAUAUGUAACAAGGAGUAUGAUAUACCUGAUCGCUGAUGUCGAUGUCAAUUGACACAGGGUAGUAUAUUGAUCGUUUCUGGUAUUGUGCUGUCGAUCGAUGUCGACCUUGACUCACCGGUCGAUGACAAGUAUCCGCUCCUUGGUUCUCUUUUUGGUUUUUUUUUAGACCUUCAAUAAAGGUAAAAACAGAAAUAAAUUAACUAGUAAAUAUUAAAACUAUAAGAAGUUACCUAAUAGUGGGUUGCCUCCCACUCAGCGCUUUGUUAUAGUCAUUUAGCUUGACUUUAGAGGUUGUAUUUGGCUAGUAAUGAUCAAAGUGACCACUUGGUUGUAUGCAAGUGUCAACUUCAUCUUUUCUCAUCUGGAACCAAGUUCUAAUGAAGCUUCUUAUGGCUUCAUCUCCUCUUGUCCACGGAUUCUAUAAUCUUUCUCUAGCAACCUCACUUGCAUGCAUCCUAUGUUGAAGACUCCCAAUGCUGCGCUGUUGUAUUCCAAGUAUGGCAUAUGUUGAUUCUGAGAUGUCCUUCAGCUCCUAGUAAACAUCUUUUUUCAGCAAGUCUUGAGAGAAAGUGAUCUCAUCAAGCUUAUCAUGUAGUGACUUCUCAGUAACCAGCUUGCUUCGUAGUGCUGCAUAGUCGCCGUCAAUCUAUGGUCGAGUCUUUCUGUCGUUCGAUGGUGACGGUUCUGCUUGAGAAUUAAGUUGUCUCUGAAUCGUAUAUAUCUCCUGUUGCAAAGAGUCCAUGCGUUUGGUCAGGAAAUCUACACCUUGAAGUCGGUAUGUUAGCAUUUGUAGCCUUUCUCUGAGUGGUGCGAGUCGAGCUUCGAUCGAUGCUUAGAUGCGAGCGUUGAUCGAUGGUUGAGUGUGAGCGUCGAUCGAUUGUUGAGCGUGAGAAGCGAUCGAUUUGAUCUUCAUGCGCCGACUGCAUGUUGUUUCUGAAGCAUGGCUAAGUCUUGCUUCAUCUCAUCUGUGCAUAUGGUCAACCAGCUGAUAAUGUUGUCGAACGGUCAUCGAGCCUCUUCGAAUGAUAAUCAUUUGAAGUUAUGAUAGCUUUGUAGAUCUCUGCUACUAGCUCAUCAAUAUCAGUUUUGUUGUAUAUGUUCUGCUCUGGCACGGUCGGUAAGGAUACCUAUGUGUUCUCCCAACGAGGUUUCCUCUUCCUGUUUGGAUGAAGUGUGCUUCGUCUGGAUUCGAAGUGACCAUCGAUCGAUGGUGCUGCUGCGUUGUUGAUCGAUGCUAGAUCCUCUGAUCUAUUUUUCGGAAUGUAGAAGUUACUGCAUCCAUUCAUGGCAAUGAUUUCAGCCAUGUCCCCAUUAGAUAUGUGGAGAAUGCGUCCAUCCAUUACUCUUGCUUGGCCUUCUGGAUCCCUAAAAAUACCAAAUUCAUCCGGAGUUAUAUAAUCAUAAUAUGUAUUAUCUUUGACUUGUACCUUAAUAUUUGGUGUUGGAUCAUCGUCGAUCGAUGGCUUGAUGUUGCUGUCGAUCGAUGUUGACGUUGCAAAUGCAAACAAUGUAUGGAGAAGUCCUCUGCCAUCCAUGGCAAGACCAAAGUACUCAAUGUCCUUCUCUUUGUGGUAAACCUUGUCAUACUCAUCAGAUUUCAUCUCUGGUAAUUCAGUGUCCACUGCGAAACUCUCAUGAAGGCUAUUUUCUGCCCAACUGCCGAUAAAAUAGUCGCCUUGUAUGCUGAUUGUAUCACCAUAGUGGUAAACUGGUAAUCAAUCAAUGUCUGAGGCUGGGUAGCGACUUCAAAGCUUGGAUAGCAGUGUACUGGCAGAGCGAAAGUCUCACUUGCAUGACGGAUGUCGAUCGAUUCUCUGGACAUGUUGUCGAUCGGCGGAUGAAUGGAAAUGUCGAUCGAUAGUGGAGUCCCGCUAUCAAUCGAUCCUGAAUACUUUGUUUCAUAUUCAUCCUCGUAAUCGCAGUGGCAUGCUGAUAUGAAUCCAGUGUUGAACGUCUUUGGCUUGAUAACUAUGACUGGAUCGUAGUAGACAUCAUGAUUUAUCAGUGUUAGACACAACUGAUUAGUAUUCAUGUUGCAAACUGCUCCUACAAUAGGCAUGAAGGCUCUCCUAAGUAGUACAGAAGGACUCCUGUUUUGCUUGUUUUCCAGGACAUGGAAGUUAAUUAGAACUAGUGCAUUACCAAUCUGCACCUCAAGGUUUCUGAUGAUUCCUCCUGAGUUCGUCGUAGAAUAAUCCACAAAAGUGAAUGAAUCCUCCGAAGGCUCUAUCUUAAGACCCAUAUGGCCUGCUAUCGUCUUGGGCAGUAUGUUGACUGAUAAACAUGUGUCACACAGCGCACAUGGAAACUCAAUGCCCUUCCACAAACAUGGCACUGCAAGUUUUCCAGGAUCACUCUUCUUUUUCAGUGUAAUCUUCUGCGUCAUCUUCUCUUUGAUCUGAUUGAAGAUCCUAUGUAUGUCCUGUUUGGUUUCCUUGGUCUCUCUAAAGAACAUCCGCAACCUAUGGGUAAAGUAAGCUCCUCAAAUGGCUUGUCCAAGGGAAUCCUGAGAACUCUCUUAAUGAAGCUAUCCAUCUCCUUCUCAUUGACUCCCCUUUUGAGAUGCUUAGGAAGCUUUUCCUUUUUCUCCUCAAGGUUCUCCUCGCAGAAGUAUGAUCAACUUGCAUAGGCUCUAUAGUGCAUCACCAGAACUUUUUUUCGAAGUUGUCUGCAAUAUGUUCUGAAGGUUGAGAUGGGUUUCUGAGUGCAUUCAGUCAUGCUACAUCAAUCUUUGGUAAUUGCACUCGGUAUGUCAGAGGUGGUUGUCGAUCGAUAUUGGGUGAGUUGAGUCGAUCGUCAGUCGAGUCUGGAUGUCGAUCGGCAUCAGGCUCUUUGUGUCGAUCGAUGUCCAACUUCUUGAUGCGUAAAGGUUUGGGUGGAUGUGGGUGUUUAGCCGCGAACUCCUCGUGAGUCAGAAUUCUCACGGUCGCGCAUGAUGCAACUUCCUUUGUCGAUCUAUGUGAAAAAAACUGAUGUCGGUCAAUGUGCGUCCGUCUCCUUUCAGUUGAUGUUCGUGACUUGGCGUCGAUCGACACCAAUGUGAACCGCCAAAACUCAUGGAGCUUUCGACUUGGAAGUCUCCCUCUUGAAGCUUCUCAUGCUUAACCACUUGCAAGAAAUCAUCAUCCAUAAUGGCAUUUACGUGGUGCUUUAGUGAGUCAUCCCCUUUACCCUUCAUGAAGGCCUCAUGCCUUUUAAUGGUGUCUCCUGUUUGAACCACAUGUGUCUCCAGCUUUCUCACAUGUGUGUUCAAAGACUUAACUUUAAGUUCAGCUCUGUGUAGACAAAAUCAAUAUUUCCAUUGAAGUUCAAGAAUUGACUCUAUCUUUCUCUCUCGAGUCUGCGGUGGUUGAAUCUGAUAGUAAGAACUUCCAAAAGGUUUGUUGCUGCUGUUGUAGUUGCUGAUCUAGGGUUUCUGGUAUUGUGAACUCUAGUUAUAUCCCCUCAUCUGACCAUUGCCAUAGGAUUUUGUAUCCACUCUGAUUUCUAGACCUCUGAUUUUGAAAGCCUGAACCACUGACAAAGUUCACAUCCUCCUCUUCGUCCAUCUCACUGUCGAAAUCUACAGCCUCUACAUCCUCUGCAUAGCUAACAUGAUUCUUGAGAAGCUUGUGAACACUAUCUAUCUUAGCUUUACCAUUUUCCAACUUCUCCUUCCCUAGGGUAGUGGUCGAUUUUUUUAUUUCAAAAUCAGUGUUCUUGGUGAUGUUGUUGGAUGCCAAGUUCUCAAUAAGUCUCACAACCUCUUAUGGAUUCCUAGUGUUGAAGUUUGCAUCACUAGCAGAGUAUAUAGCCAUCUGAUAUGCUAGUGCGAUGCCUCUGAAGAAAGUUUUGAGCAUCUGCACUUCAUUGAAUUCAUGGUGUGGACAGUCUCUCUGAUACGACUUGAAUCUGAUCCAGGAGCUUCUGAAUGAUUUUGUAGGCUCCUGUGUGAAUGUAGCAAUCUUGUUCUUCAAGUCUUCAUGACGUGCCUAAUCAAAUAAGUGGUAUAAGAAUGCAUUCUUGAUGUCGGCCCAGGAUAUAAGAGAUCCUGGUUGUAACUGCUUAAGCCAGUGUGAAGCCUCUCCAGCAAGUGAGUACUUGAAGAGCUUGCAAAAGAGAUAGUCCUCACAAACUCCAUUGGCUUUGAUAGCAAAAACUAGAUCCAUCGAAGCUCUCCAGAUUGUCUAUAGGAUGCUCGUGUGAUAACCCACAAUAGGUCCCACGAGUGUGAAAUACUAAGGCUUCAACUCAAAGUCUUUCCUCCAGAUGGCUAGAGGAUGUAUGGCAGAUCUGUUCUCAUAGUACUAAUAUGGCAUGUUGUAAUCAGCUAAUGUCCUCGUUCUAGCAGCCUCUUCUACAGCUUGAGCAGCUGCAAUAUCGGCACCAUGAUCAGAGAUUACAGCCCCUUGAUCAUAUAUCUUCUGACCUGCUACAUUACACAGAUGACCCUCCUGGUCAUGCAGGUUUCCAACCGCGUCCUGAAUUAGAACUAGUGUCGCAACCAUGUCUCGCGGCUCAGUAUCGAUCGAUGUCCGAGGUGGAAUGUCGAUCGAUGUCGGGUGUGUAAGGGUGGUCGACGGAAGAGUGGUCUCGAUCGACAGUGGAAGGCGAGUGUUGGUUGACGAGCAGGUGCUAUUGCCGAUCGACGCGGUACGUUUUUUUUUACGGAUGCUGCGUUAUAGAAGUGCAGGAUAUGAAAAGAGAAGUGUAUAUUCCUUGUUGCUUCUGGUACUGAUGGACAUGCACCUGAAAUGACAAGAAAAAAAUUUAUCAGUUUUUGCAAGUAACAAAACCUUACACUAAACCUAACUAGAUUUAAUCUAAUGGCAAUCAAAGCUCCCCGGCAACGGCGCCAAAUUUGAUAUCACUCAAAUUACCUAAGGAGUGAUUUACUCUCUCAAAUAAGAGGUUCAGUCGUAGUAAUUAGGGAUCGAAUUCAGAGCGAGUUAAGGCACACAAGAGAUCUAUCUAGUCAAGUAGUUAAGCUAGGUAAGUAGGUCUUAAAGUAGUAAAUAGCAGGGGUUAACAAGUAAUUGUUCGAUUGAUUGAUUGGGUUUUAAGGAAAAUAUAGGAAGGGUUAGACUAAGCAUAUAUGGAUAUUCUAGAACUCAAACAAUAAGAAUAGUCGAUCAACUUUCGUAUAUUUAGACUAUCUAUCGCUGGAUCUAGGACCUCAGCUGUCGCUUGUUGGUCCUGAGAGAGUGUCGAUUGAUUCCAACAACGGGGUAUCGAUCGAUACACCGUUCAGCUCGUCGAUCGAUGCAACUAGCAAGUUGUCGAUCGAUGAACCUUCCAGGAAGCAUUAUCGCACGGUUUUGACAUGCUCACUAGGUUUAACUAAAUCAGCUUCUGCUUGUUUCUAUCAAUCCUAGCACAAUCUAAACUAAUCAGAAAGAGAACCAAACUUUCGCUUGCGUCCUAUUAUCUAAAGGCAAUGUCCUAGUUAGCUACUCAAGAACACAUGCAUUAAGAAAAAAACUAGUUGAUUCAUAUUCCUGACACUUAGAAAUUCUAUAUUUUGGGCUAAUCCCUCAUGAAUAUCUGAACCCUAAAUCUAACCAAAAAAAUUACUCAGACAUAGAUAAGCAAUUCAUAACAAAGAGAUAUGAAAACU